UACGUAGGGUGCGAGCGUUGUCCGGAAUUAUUGGGCGUAAAGGGCUCGUAGGUGGUUUGUCGCGUUGUUCGUGAAAACUCACAGCUUAACUGUGGGCGUGCGGGCGAUACGGGCAGACUUGAGUACUGCAGGGGAGACUGGAAUUCCUGGUGUAGCGGUGGAAUGCGCAGAUAUCAGGAGGAACACCGGUGGCGAAGGCGGGUCUCUGGGCCGACACUGACGCUGAGGAGCGAAAGCGUGGGGAGCGAACAGG
rnacentral:rRNA from 1 species